rnacentral:rRNA from 1 species
AGCUCCAAUAGCGUAUAUUAAAGUUGCUGCGUUUAAAAAGCUCGUAGUUGGAUCUCAGUCUCGAUCGGUCGGUCCGUUCUCGUGGACGGUUACUGGCUGAAUCGGACGUUGUUGGCCACGUUUCCGAGCAUGCUCUUGAUUGAGUGUGUUUUGGAGAGUGGAGCGUUUACUUUGAAAAAAUUAGAGUGCUCAAAGCAGGCGUUUUGCCUGGAUAGUCGUGCAUGGAAUGAUGGAAUAGGGCCUCGGUUCUAUUUUGUUGGUUUCCGGAACUCGAGGUAAUGAUUAAUAGGGACAGACGGGGGCAUUCGUAUCGCGGUGGGAGAGGUGAAAUUCUUAGAUCAUCGCAAGACGGCCAACAGCGAAAGCAUUCGCCAAGAAUGUUUCCAUUAAUCAAGAACGA